rnacentral:rRNA from 1 species
GAUGAACGCUGGCGGCGUGCCUAAUACAUGCAAGUCGAGCGAACAGACGAGGAGCUUGCUCCUCUGACGUUAGCGGCGGACGGGUGAGUAACACGUGGAUAACCUACCUAUAAGACUGGGAUAACUUCGGGAAACCGGAGCUAAUACCGGAUAAUAUAUUGAACCGCAUGGUUCAAUAGUGAAAGACGGUUUUGCUGUCACUUAUAGAUGGAUCCGCGCCGCAUUAGCUAGUUGGUAAGGUAACGGCUUACCAAGGCAACGAUGCGUAGCCGACCUGAGAGGGGGGACGGCAAAACGGGAGCAGAGCAGCGGUCCGGACGCUGAGGGGGGGACGAGGGAGGGAAUCUUCGGAAAGGGGGGAGAGCCGAAGGGGGCAACGCGGGGUAAGGGAUGAAGGUCUUGGGAUGGAAAACUUGGUUUGGUGGGGAAAAAAAAAUGGGAAGGUAACAGUGCAGGUCGGGACGGUACCUAAGAAGAAAGCAAAGGCUAACUAGGGG